rnacentral:rRNA from 1 species
GUGCCAGCAGCCGCGGUAAUACAGGGGGUGCAAACGUUGCUCGGAAUUAUUGGGCGUAAAGCGCGCGUAGGCGGCCACUUAAGUCGGAUGUGAAAGCCCCUGGCUCAACUGGGGAAGUGCACCCGAAACUGAAUGGCUUGAAUGCAAAAGAGGGUCGCGGAAUUCCCGGUGUAGAGGUGAAAUUCGUAGAUAUCGGGAGGAACACCGGUGGCGAAGGCGGCGACCUGGGUUGACAUUGACGCUGAGGCGCGAAAGCGUGGGGAGCAAACAGGAUUAGAUACCCCCGUAGUCC